GCUCAGACGGGCUCAAAUUCAGAAGCCACCAUUGCUCCUCACCCCCACCCCCAGGACGCUGAUUGUUCUGCGCAGGUUGGAGGUAGGUGGUGAGUCUGAGAAAGGGGCCGGAAAGACUCCCCAGCAACUGCUGGCAAAGGGUGAAGGGCACGUUCCCACAGGAUUCAAGCCAGCUGCCUUUGGAGGGGAGACGGGCACUCAGUUUAGGCGCUCCUACAGCAGGGUCAGCAAGACAAGCAGGUUGCGGCAAGGGUCUGCGCACUGCUGUGUAAAUGUAGGGGCAUCGGGGGGCAGAAAGACCAGGGGAGAAGUGUGCAUCACCCUUGGGGUUAAGGGACAGUUGUCUGCUAGGUGUUGCUUCCUGGAGAUGGCUGAAAAGCCAGUCCAGUCUGCAGGGACCAGGCCACCACCCACCUGAUGUGGGAGCAUUUCCCCCAAUCCCUGCUGGGCUGCUGAAUCUGGGGGACAUAGGGAAGCUGAGGCUGGUGUUCUGAGUAGUGGCAGAGCUGAGCCACAGGGCAUGUCUGAGGUCAGCCCCGAGCAAAAUGGAAUAGGGACUCAGGGUGGGUCAGGUAACUGGAAAGCGGGCACUGUGCACGCAGCCCUUGAGGGGAGCCAGGGUGGGUGGGGAUCCCCCACUGUGUGCAGAAGGCAGCAGCCUUGGAAGCAGGGUGUGCUCCUCGGUGUGGUCGCUCGAUACCAGAAAAUGACUCUAAAAACUGAAGAGUGUUUGAGUUUCAUUCACACAAAACAUGGACAUCAUCUGUGAGGCUCUGUCCCAGAGAGACAGGGCCAUCCCUCAUGUCUGUUAUUGGGUUGUAGAUAAACAAAAGUAUAAAUCAAACAAACUGCAAAUUA
ensembl:lncRNA MRPL20-AS1 MRPL20 antisense RNA 1